ACCCUACGGGAGGCAGCAGUGGGGAAUAUUGCACAAUGGGGGAAACCCUGAUGCAGCAACGCCGCGUGAGUGAAGAAGGUUUUCGGAUUGUAAAGCUCUGUUAGCAGGGAAGAGGAAGGACGGUACCUGCAGAGGAAGCCACGGCUAACUACGUGCCAGCAGCCGCGGUAAUACGUAGGGGGCGAGCGUUAUCCGGAUUUACUGGGUGUAAAGGGAGCGUAGACGGUUCUGCAAGUCUGAAGUGAAAGCCCGUGGCUUAACCGCGGAACGGCUUUGGAAACUGUGGAACUGGAGUGCUGGAGAGG
rnacentral:rRNA from 1 species